rnacentral:rRNA from 1 species
GACGAACGCUGGCGGCGCGCUUAACACAUGCAAGCCGAACGGAAAGGCCUGCUUUCCCUUGUGGAUUGCGGGUACUCGAGUGGCGAACGGGUGAGUAACACGUGAGUGAUCUGCCCCCAACUUGGGUAUAAGCCUGGGAAACUGGGUCUAAUUCCCGAUAGGGCUGCAGGGUGGUGCCUGUGGUGGAAAACGAUUUUCUAGUGGUUGGGGAUGAGCUCGCGGCCUAUCAGCUUGUUGGUGGGGUAAUGGCCUACCAAGGCGGCGACGGGUAGCCGGCCUGAGAGGGUGGACGGCCACAUUGGGACUGAGAUACGGCCCAGACUCCUACGGGAGGCAGCAGUGGGGAAUAUUGCACAAUGGGCGGAAGCCUGAUGCAGCGACGCCGCGUGGGGGAUGACGGCCUUCGGGUUGUAAACUCCUUUCGACCGCGAGGAAGCCACCUGGUUGGAAGGGUGGUGACGGUAGUGGUAGAAGAAGCACCGGCUAACUACGUG